CUAAUGCUCUUUUUAAUUUUAUUAGCUACUGAAGCCAAAUUUAAUCUGAUAAAAACAUUUUAAAAGAGGGACCAGUUAUCUAUUUUAAGGCUGUAGUUGAUCUUACAGGUUUAAUUAUUUUAUAGUUUUAAAGUUUAUAAAGUAAAGCAUUGAUUGGCAAAUAAUCUAAAUUUUUCAUUUUAGAGAAUAAAGCUUUUUUUUUUAAAAACAGGAUGAAACAAGUGAAGAUGCUAACUGUCUUGCUUUGAGUGGACAUGAUAAAACAGAAGCAAAGGAACAACUUGAUACAGAGACAAGUACAACUCAAUCAGAAACUAUUCAGACAGCGGCUUCUCUGUUGGCCUCUCAGAAAACAUCCAGUACAGACCUUUCUGAUAUCCCUGCUCUCCCUGCAAAUCCUAUUCCUGUUAUCAAGAAUUCAAUAAAACUGAGAUUGAAUCGGUAAAAACAACCU
rnacentral:lncRNA from 1 species